rnacentral:rRNA from 1 species
UUCCGGUUGAUCCUGCCGGACCUGACUGCUAUCGGAUUGAUACUAAGCCAUGCGAGUCAUUGUAGCAAUACAAGGCAGACGGCUCAGUAACGCGUAGUCAACCUAACCUAUGGACGGGAAUAACCUCGGGAAACUGAGAAUAAUGCCCGAUAGAACACUAUAUCUGGAAUGGUUUGUGUUCCAAAUGAUUUAUCGCCGUAGGAUGGGACUGCGGCCUAUCAGUUUGUUGGUGAGGUAAUGGCCCACCAAGACUAUUACAGGUACGGGCUCUGAGAGGAGUAGCCCGGAGAUGGGUACUGAGACACGGACCCAGGCCCUAUGGGGCGCAGCAGGCGAGAAAACUUUGCAAUGUGCGAAAGCACGACAAGGUUAAUCCGAGUGGUUUCUGCUAAAGGAACCUUUUGUCGGUCCUAGAAACACCGAUGAAUAAGGGGUGGGCAAGUUCUGGUGUCAGCCGCCGCGGUAAAACCAGCACCUCAAGUGGUCAGGAUGAUUAUUGGGCCUAAAGCAUCCGUAGCCUGCUUUGUUAGUUUUCGGUUAAAUCUAUACGCUCAACGUAUAGGCUGCCGGGAAUACUGCAAAGCUAGGGAGUGGGAGAGGUAGACGGUACUCGGUAGGAAGGGGUAAAAUCCUUUGAUCUAUUGAUGACCACCUGUGGCGAAGGCGGUCUACCAGAACACGUCCGACGGUGAGGGAUGAAAGCUGGGGGAGCAAACCGGAUUAGAUACCCGGGUAGUCCCAGCCGUAAACCAUGCAAACUCAGUGAUGCAUUGGCUUGUGGCCAAUGCAGUGCUGCAGGGAAGCCGUUAAGUUUGCCGCCUGGGAAGUACGUACGCAAGUAUGAAACUUAAAGGAAUUGGCGGGGGAGCACCACAAGGGGUGAAGCCUGCGGUUCAAUUGGAGUCAACGCCGGG